UUAAUAAGAAGAAGCGCACCUCUACUCGGUGCCUCGCCUCGCAAGGGCUGGAGGUGACGAUAUUUCAAAGCAAUUGAACCAAACGAAGAGAAAGCUCGAAAGUGAGCUCUGAUCAAGACCCACUUGCCACAAACGCCUGAUGGAGUUCUUUCGAGAAACGCUGGAGGAUUCCGGUCACUAGAGAUGUCCUUGUGUCUAGAAAUGUUUCUUCUGGAGCUAGGGUUGCUGUAGGACAGCACAGACCCUUCACUGGGAAAAAUGGCGAGAGUGGGACGAGAGCUAAUGAUGUCGGGGUUCAUCUGGUUAGUCCUGACUUUUGAUCCCUUCUUUAAGGUUCUCUCCAACAUGGAUGGAAGGUUCAAGAGUCGUCCAAGUUAUCUAUCUAUUGAAGUGCAAGUGUUCAGGGAGGAGAAUCAAGAAUUGAGAGCUCUGGUAGAACAAGUAAAGGCAGCAGUCAGCCUCAUUCAUUAGCUUAUCCUUUUGUUUUGCUCCACUUUUCAAGACUGCAUGUUGUGGAUAAAUAUUUGUAUUUUGAAAUUGAUGAUUUGGAUGCUAUUAUUAAAUAAUAAAUUAAUUGAUAUUGA